AUUGAACGCUGGCGGCAGGCCUAACACAUGCAAGUCGAGCGGAGCUGCGGACGGGUGAGUAAUGCCUAGGAAUCUGCCUGGUAGUGGGGGAUAACGUCCGGAAACGGGCGCUAAUACCGCAUACUCUCAGUUGAGCCUAGGUCGGUUUGGCUCGUUGGUGGGGUAAAGGCCUACCAAGGCGACGAUCCGUAACUGGUCUGAGAGGAUGAUCAGUCACACUGGAACUGGGAGACGGUCCAGACUCCUACGGGAGGCAGCAGUGGGGACUGUUGGACAAUGGGCGAAAGGCUGAUCCAGCCAUGCCGGGUGUGUGAAGAAGGUCUUCGGAGUGUAAAGCACUUUAAGUUGGGAGGCGUUACCAACAGAAUAAGCACCGGCUAACUUCGUGCCAGCAGCCGCGGUAAUUC
rnacentral:rRNA from 1 species